rnacentral:misc_RNA from 1 species
CAAUCAGUGUUUAAUGGCACUUGAAAUCCAUUACCCACCUUGUGUGCAAUGUCGGGGAGGGGGUGUCAUGUGACUUGACGCGUCUUGGACGCGUCUUGACGCGUUUUUUCACCUCCUUCUUAUCAUUCACUCGUAGUUUUUCAUAUCAGUCUACAAGUAUCGAGUAUCAAAAACUCUAAUA